rnacentral:rRNA from 1 species
GACGAACGCUGGCGGCGUGCCUAAUACAUGCAAGUCGAGCGCAGGAAGCCGUCUGAACCCUUCGGGGGGACGGCGGUGGAAUGAGCGGCAGACGGGUGAGUAACACGUAAAGAACCUACCCAUAGGUCUGGGAUAACCACGAGAAAUCGGGGCUAAUACCGGAUGUGUCAUCGGACCGCAUGGUCCGCUGCUGAAAGGCGCUCCGGCGUCGCCCACGGAUGGCUUUGCGGUGCAUUAGCUAGUUGGUGGGGUAACGGCCCACCAAGGCGACGAUGCAUAGCCGACCUGAGAGGGUGAUCGGCCACACUGGGACUGAGACACGGCCCAGACUCCUACGGGAGGCAGCAGUAGGGAGUCUUCCACAAUGGACGAAAGUCUGAUGGAGCAACGCCGCGUGAACGAUGAAGGCUUUCGGGUCGUAAAGUUCUGUUGUAAGGGAAGAACAAGUGCCGCAGGCAAUGGCGGCACCUUGACGGUACCUUGCGAGAAAGCCACGGCUAACUACGUGCCAGCCGCCGCGGUAA